CUACGGGGAAGCAGCAGUAGGGAAUCUUCCGCAAUGGACGAAAGUCUGACGGAGCAACGCCGCGUGAGUGAUGAAGGUUUUCGGAUCGUAAAACUCUGUUGUUAGGGAAGAACAAGUACCGUUCGAAUAGGGCGGUACCUUGACGGUACCUAACCAGAAAGCCACGGCUAACUACGUGCCAGCAGCCGCGGUAAUACGUAGGUGGCAAGCGUUGUCCGGAAUUAUUGGGCGUAAAGCGCGCGCAGGCGGUUUCUUAAGUCUGAUGUGAAAGCCCCCGGCUCAACCGGGGAGGGUCAUUGGAAACUGGGGAACUUGAGUGCAGAAGAGGAGAGUGGAAUUCCACGUGUAGCGGUGAAAUGCGUAGAGAUGUGGAGGAACACCAGUGGCGAAGGCGACUCUCUGGUCUGUAACUGACGCUGAGGCGCGAAAGCGUGGGGAGCGAACAGGAUUAGAUACCCUGUGGUAG
rnacentral:rRNA from 1 species